AUAUUCCAUUUAUCAGAGCCCUUUUUGAAAUAUACAUUUGAAUUUCCAAAAAAUUAUAAAAAAGGAGAACUUAAUUGAAAGGGAUGGGUAGGGAUAUGGAACAUAGUUCAUAAUACUUUUUAAUCCUAAAUCUUAAGUGUUACAAGUUUUAUAUACGCCAUUACUUUUUAAAAUGCACCAGCCUCUAAUGUAGAGUUAUUGAUCACAAAUGCUCAGAAAAUAGACCUCUGCAGGCAUUCUACUGCUUUGAGCUUCCGACCAGCCUCUUUCCUGCUAUAAAGUGUUAAGAAGUUCAUGUAACAUGUUAGUGCAGCCUUCGAAGACUGUUCUAAACAAAAUCUAGUCAGAAACACAUGGCUCUCUUAUUUUAUCUUUGCAUGCUCAGAAAGAAGAACGAGAUAAAUAAAACUGAGCUCUUCAAAUAAGAAUUUCAAAAGACCAAACUACAUGAAUGCAUGGAUCUAUUUAAAGUAGGAAAACUAAAUUCCCAACAUCUUGCUAAAACUUCUGUAAAAAUAUAUUUAAAAAUACAAUUCAAAGACUAUAGGCAAUAAAAGUAUGUGUGGUAAGAUGGAUUCAGUAGAUCACAAUAUUGUACAUAUCUCAGCCUCAUGAAAUCCUAGAUUAGUUGUUGAGGGACGGUGGAGGCAAUAAACUGUGCUAUAACUUUGUUUUAGCCAAUCAGACUUAUGUAUAGUUAAAUCGUCUUUAACAAUUGUAGUCAUAUAGACAAAUUUCCAUCUUUUUAAUUUUAAUCUUCAUAAAAAUAUCCCUUUUGUUUUAUCUGGAAGUAAGACAAACUCCAAAAUGCCUUGGCCAGCUACUUUCUUUAUCCACAGGGCCCUCUGCCCUUUACUGACACCCUCUGGUCCUUAUCGCUAAGUCAGCUUUGACAUUCAACCACAUUCUUUCCUACCUUUAUCCUGAAGGUGGCAAAGGUUGGCUAAACUGCUAAAUAAAAAAAGAUUUCUAACAAUAUAUAUAUAUAUAUAUAUUGGCCAAACCUGGGGCAUUUCUAACAGACAGUUUUAUUUAAUUGGACACAUAAGAUUGAAGUAAAUUUUCACAAGCUACUAGUUUUUAAUGAUCCUUCUUAAAUAAACAUAUCCUAUGUGUAUGUUCAUGAUUUUAUUUCAGUUCCUCUCCAAAACUUAAUGAAGAUUUCAGAACACCUAAUAGUUGAAGUAUUGCUCACUUUCUUUCAGCCAUCCAUUUAAAAAUUCCACAACUGUAGCUUUUUGGAUCUCUUUCCAAAAGCACCCUGGUAUGUAUGUGUCUCACAACUUACAGAUUUAGUUGCCUUUGUAAUCAGAGAGAAAUUAAAAUUAGUAGUUUUUCGUCUCACUUCUUAGUUUUCAGAAGUUUUAAAUAAGAAUAAUUUAAAGGCUAUACCAAUCCCUACACAAGAGCAUUGGCACUUGGAAUAAAUGUUUCAAUGACUUUCUAUUUUCAGAUAUGCUUUAAUAUUAUUUCCUCACACUCCAGCUAGAUUACUCAUCAAAUUUUAUUUUUAUAUAGUAUUUCCUUUUUUAACUUUUAACUCGGAAUUUUAUGUUUUUUUUAUCUCCACUACACUUAGUUGAUCCCUGUAUAUAAUAUAUUUUAUUUUUAAUCAUUUGCUUUAUAUGUCAUAUUCUUACAUAGUCAUAUUAUUUUAUUUCCAUUUGAGUCAGAGCAAACAUAUGCUUAUCAAGUUUAAGUCUCAAUAUAUUGGUCCACACAUAAUUUAUAAUAAUUUGAGCAUAAAUAGGGUAAUAUACAAAGAUAGGUGAGAAUUGCUCAAAAUUGACUACCAGCACUUUGGAAAAAAAAAAAAAAAAGAAUGACCUAAUGAUUAGAUUUCUAAUGUUUCAUAUUUAGGUUCACAAUAUUAAUCAUGAUGAACUUCUUUAAGCUCACUGUAAUGUUCAUUAGUGUUUCUGUAGUUCUGUUGCAAUUCAAUAGUAAUCAAUUAUGUAUCCAUUAAUUUUUAUGACUUUGUUUUAUUUAUUUAUUUUAAUGCUGGUACCCUAAUGAACAUCUUAUUUCAUCCUUAUUUGCCCAGUUAAAUUUGAGAAUCAAAGUAGAAGUGUGGGUCCUCUAAAUGAUUUCCCCUUUUCAAUUAAGAAACAGAUGAAUUGGAUGUAGAUAAAGCAUUAUACAUACCACAGUUUUAAAAAGUUUUCUGCUUCCAAACCUGCAUUAAAAUUACCACAUGAAAUUGUAUUUUUCAUACUAGAAAGGUUAUAAAUUUUAAGCAUAAAAUAAUUCUAAUUUAGUGCAUUCCUGGUUCUUUCCAAAAUAAAUUUAGUUAAAACAACUUAAAAUGUUCAGGUCUUCAGAGUAAUUCCCAGUUUUUAUUGUAUGUCAUGUUCAUAUAAGUGCAAAUUAAUGUUCUCUUCUACUUAUCCCAAUAAAAAACUAUUUUUUAAUCUAUCGCAAUACUAUAUAACAUUUAGAAAAAAGCUCAGCAUAAUCCAAGAUACUGUUUUCCUCAGUCUCCUGAACUUUGUAGAACUCCACUUAUAAAGCAUCCCUAUUGAAUUUUAACAAGUUAUUGCACUGCCAGAUACCCAGAUAUUUGGCUUCUGUUCUCAAAAAGACAUUGCUCAAUCGUAAGACAUACACUCACUACCUGACAACAAUAUCCUAUUUUCUGAACAUUUAGUUUCUUUUGUAGAAACAUUCUUACCCUAUCCUGGGAUCUUUCACCUUACAAUGUAUUUUUAGGAACCAUAUACUCUUAUUUUGGGUAGUACUAGGAGACACACAAAUAGGUUAUAUUUACUCUUGCUUCAACUUUUAGACAUAAAAUCCCAACAGAGAUUUAAAAUAGCAUUUUUUAAAAAGCCUCAUCUUACAGUUUAUACGUUCUGGCAACAUGGCAAGGAAAGGAUGGCUUUGCAGAAGAAACGAGUGUGUCAAAAAACCCUAACUGGCUGGGAGAUGAAGUGCACAGUCACAGAAAGCAGUCACUGGCAAAGGAAUGUCAGCCACUUACCAAUGAGAUGCCAGACUCCACUGUCCUUCCUCUGUGACUCUCAAUUCCUGUCUCCCAUCCUCCUGCCCCUCGGCACAGUUCAGACAGGGCAGUGCCUCUCGGUUCCUUCCCAGCCUGUGGCAGAAGAGAAACUGCGGAGUUCUUAAUCAUUCAGAGGGAAUCCUCCGGCUCGCCCUGCCUCUCCCAGCAGAGGGGACCCAGCCUAUUCAAAGGGAAGAAGAUGAGAAUGAAGACCUUAUGAUCUACUUCCAUUUAAUGAAUGCAAGUCUGCAACAAUGUGACUGUUGAUUUCCUGCCUUUGCCAAUUCUACUUUCCCUCCCAUUACCAACAAUGGGGACAGCAAAGGCCCA